UCGCAGUUCCGACGGCAGCCGCCGUUUCGCGACCCACGGCGGACUUGCAUAAACACUUUCUAGUUGGAAUCUCACCCUGUGAGGUGGGCAAGGUAGUGAUAUUCCUGUUUGACGCCGACAGAAAUAAGAGAGAUUGACUCUCAGAACCAUGUGGCGGGAUUUUAAAGGAGGAUCUUAACAGUGGCUCGGACAGACCCGUGUUUUCUGCUCCUAGCAUUAACUACGUCGUUAAACCCUUCUGAAUUUAUUUCGUCUGUGAAAUGGGGAAAAGAUAGCCACCUUGCAUAACUGGUGAAGAAUUCGUAAACUGACAGCAGAAUCUAGUAAGAGGACUGGCCCGUGGUCGGCUCUUAAUGGUGUCACAGAAUAAAGAAAAAGACUGGGAGAGAGAUGGGAGCUGAUAGACCAGAGGAGACCAAAGACUGAAACUGAAGACUAAACCAUGGAAAUUGGGAACAAGCACUUACUCGCUUAGAGGGUGAAAAAAGUGAAUUUGCCUACAGGGCCAAUUUGGAAGCACCUCUCCCUGGAAGCCAGUCAAUGAAGAGCCAUUGGAGGAUUUUAAAUAAGGAACCGAAAAAUGGAGUCUGAAAAUAGAGGCGCAGAGACCGGUUCUUCCCCAAACCAUCAUGGACCAGUUGGACUCUGAGAAGAAAAGUUUCUGAUCUUUAGUUCAUUCUUCCAACUCUCUAGAAAGCAGGAAAACUGAGAAUGAAAAAUUCUAAAUUACUCAGGACUCAUGGGUUGCCAAUAGAAGAAAUACAUCUUAAACUAGCUUAAGCCUGAAAGGGAAAUGUAUUUGUUCAUGUAACUGAACCAUAACGAAGGAUGGUGGACUGAGGGACCUGAAAACACCCUCAGGACUCCCUCCCUCUCCUUUGUGCUCCUGUCUGAUGCCGUCUUCCCAGACCUGCUCACUCUCCAUAAGGUGGGGAUGUGGCCAUCAGCAACGUGUACUUCCCCGAAGCUUGUGACCUGAGUAGAUAGGCAUCUCCCAACCCACAAGGAUUGAAAAGUUCCUCUAGGAAUUAUGUGGAUUGGCCCAUUCACUAUGACAUGUUCCCCCUAAGCAGCUAAAGGAACUGGGUCUGUUACCAGAAGAGGUGGGAGAGGGGUGCUAGGCAGAUUGAACAACAGCCACUACAACAUCUGAGGAGGAGACCUCCGUGAAGGCCACCAAGUCUGCUAGCAGAUAUUUCCUCCCUCGGAUCUCUCUCCCUGUCCUCACAGUCUCAUAAGUGAGGAUUAAAUACUACAUGUGGCCUAGGAGAUCUUAGACCCUCCACACGAAGAUAUAGUAACAAUCAACAUCCUAGUGUUCUGGCAGAGAAAAAAUCAGAAAGAAUCGUUUGCCUGAUUUUUCCAUCAAUACCAAUAAUUAAUUAGAGAUGAAAUUUGUGAUGGACUCAGAGAAUUAGAGAAGAUCUAAGGGAAUCUAGAUGAUUUCCUACCCCUAACCAGAGCCUCACAAAAAAGGGUGAAGAUCUAUGGCCGUCUUGCGUUUGGUGUGAGGCUGGACAAGGAAGUUCCUAAGGUCCUUUAGACUCUGUGAGAUCAUGAGUCCGUAAAACCCUUCCAACUUGAAAUUAGUUGAUUCCUUCCUUAAAUUUUCUGGGACAUUCCCCCACUCCCUCCACUCUUAUUAGCUGAUUUUACUGACCAAUAGGCCUUGAAGUUGGGCGUUCCAUCUAGAUGUCUCACAUCAACUCACCUUUUGCAAAUUAAGCCCAUACCCUUAAAGAGGGGAAUUCUCAAGCCAUUAGAAACUAGAGAGUCAGCUGGGCAUGGUGGCUCACGCCUGUAAUCCCAGAACUUUGGGAGGCCAAGGUGGGUGGAUCACUUGAGGUCAGGAGUUCGAGUCCAGCCUGACCAACAUGGCGAAACCCCGUCUCUACUAAAAAUACAAAAAUUAGCCAGGGGUGAUGGCAUGCACCUGUAAUCCCAGCUACUCAGGAGGCUGAGGCAGGAGAAUUGCUUGAACCUGGGAGGCGGAGGUUGCAGUGAGCCAAGUUUGCACCACAGCACUCCAGCCUGGGCAACAGAGUGAGACUCAGUUUCAAAAAACAAAAGAACAAACAAACAAAAACUAGAGGGUCUCCUCUUAGUUCUUAAACCCUCUUAGUCAACAUUUGUGAGCCUCUUUUCUGUAUGUUUUGGCAUCUUUAUUCCUUUCCUUCGUGUCUUGACCAAAUUCACCAGAUCAUGACUCAGAACAAAAUCCUGAGGUUGAAUAUAGAGGUCU
rnacentral:lncRNA from 1 species